rnacentral:rRNA from 1 species
UGGGGAAUAUUGCACAAUGGGCGCAAGCCUGAUGCAGCGACGCCGCGUGAGGGAUGACGGCCUUCGGGUUGUAAACCUCUUUCAGCAGGGAAGAAGCGUGAGUGACGGUACCUGCAGAAGAAGCACCGGCUAACUACGUGCCAGCAGCCGCGGUAAUACGUAGGGUGCGAGCAUUGUCCGGAAUUAUUGGGCGUAAAGAGCUCGUAGGCGGCUUGUCGCGUCGGAUGUGAAAGCCCGGGGCUUAACCCCGGGUCUGCAUUCGAUACGGGCAGGCUAGAGUUCGGUAGGGGAGAUCGGAAUUCCUGGUGUAGCGGUGAAAUGCGCAGAUAUCAGGAGGAACACCGGUGGCGAAGGCGGAUCUCUGGGCCGAUACUGACGCUGAGGAGCGAAAGCGUGGGGAGCGAACA